ACGCUCGACACCUACGGGAGGCGGCAGUGAGGAAUAUUGGUCAAUGGGCGCAGGCCUGAACCAGCCAAGUAGCGUGAAGGAUGACUGCCCUAUGGGUUGUAAACUUCUUUUAUAUGGGAAUAAAGUUUUCCACGUGUGGAAUUUUGUAUGUACCAUAUGAAUAAGGAUCGGCUAACUCCGUACCAGCAGCCGCGGUAAUCUGAGCGGCUGGCAAGGC
rnacentral:rRNA from 1 species